GGUCUGAAAAACUAUAUUGCUUGUCCUAAUGUGUAAAUUUCAACAAUUUGCAAAUUUGUAGAUUCUUUAGAAUGGAACUAACUCAAGCCCUUCAUUCUGCAGCUGAGGCUCACUGCCCCCAGUGGGCAGUGGGUCCGGGGGUUUCUGAGGCCAGGGCAUGGCCCAGUCCUGCUGCCCCCAGGAUGGCACCUGGUUUGGAGGCGUGAGUAGCCCUGUUAGUCUGACUUUGAAGAAGACCAGCCUUCCAGACUCGCUUGGUGCCCUGCCAGAAGCCCUGGGCUCCCCCAGUGUUGCCUGGAUCUGACUUUGCCUCAGUGAAAACCACCUCGAAUUCUUUCUUGCACUGAUGGGCAGAUGGGCAGUGUCAGAGGAUCGUGUCGUCUGCCCUGUGGCGCUGGUUGGCUUGGUCAAAUCAGUGUUCAAACUAUCUCCUGCCCUUUCAAGAGGAUCUAGGGCUCUAGAAGAUUAGAGGACUUUGAGAGGUUAGUGACUUGC